rnacentral:lncRNA from 1 species
AGGGUAGCCUGUGGCUGUUCAGUACUUCCAAAGCUGUAAAUGGCUCUGAUUGGAAGUAAGUCAGUAUUAGCAGUGUUGUUAAAAUCUCCACCAUGAAGAUCCAUGUGGGUGCUUGGAGUCUUACAAUAGAAAAGAAUGAAUGCAUUCCUUCAUAUUAAAAGACACUAAAAAGUAAUGGCAGAUGAAAUGUGGUCACGUUGAGCAGCUGCUCAGAACCUCAGUAAAGUAUGGGUCUUGAUUACAAAGAGAGAUCUAUGGAUCCCAGUUGAUGGGGAGCAGAAACACAGCUCAGAAGGGGAUUGUGGAAAGCUGGUCAGGGCACGUUUGUCCUGUGGGCCAGGAUGUCUUUAGGGGAAUAUGCAGUACAAAGAGGAAUGGGAUCUAGGCUGAGAUCUGGUCUGGUCAGGAGCAGACUGGCUGCCGGUAAAAAUGGAAAAGAAGAAACAUGUGCUCUGUAUGUUCAUCAUCCCUGUUUCCCACCUUCCUCUCCUUUGGAUUUAUGCCAGGUCUCCCAGGGAUAGGUCCCCUAGUGCCCUCUUUACUCUCCUCAAGGCCUGGUGGAUCCUAACCGAUGGAUGUUUAUGGAGAACUGGUGCUGCCACAGCCAGUAGCAGGACCUGUCUACACCUGUUGGUAACCUGAGCGUCCCACUCACCAAUCCCAGCCUUCAGGCUUUUCCACCCACAUGCCACGUCUCUUGAUCCAUUGGAAGUCAUUAGAUCAGAUUUGAACUGCCUGAGGGACAGGCUCUCCUUUUAAAUUCCAUUUAUCAAGAGCCAUUACGUGCCCAGAACUUGACGGGAUGCUUUUCCUGGAUUAUCAUAUUUAAUCCUCACACCAACAUCAGGUUACAGAUGAAGAGACCAAUUUAGAGAUUAAAUAAUUUUCCCAAGGUCACUCAACCAGUAAGCCUAGAAGUGGGAUUUGGACCUGAUUCGUUGUGUGCAAGCAUAUGCUGCAUCACACUGCCCAGGGCCAGGACGGGCAGCAGAAUGCAGCCUCCUCCACAUGUUCGCCGGACUCUCAGCAUCUAGAGAACUUUGCCCGUCAGCCAGGCAUCUCAAAGCCACAGUCACAGCUCUGGACACACAGGCGCUGAGGAGAACUGAUCGAGCAGUAAUGUCUCCAUGGGGACCAGCCAGUCAGCAACAGUGUACACACUCACUGUGUACUGACCAGGACUCAGACAAUAUGUUCUGCCAAUCCCUGGACUCCUAAUUAGCCUUCCACCUCCCAAAGUGAGUCGGUGUCAUGUUAUCAAACACGUCUCUUUCCUUGUCUCCUCUCAUUUAAGGGACUGUAGCUAGCUCCUACAGCUUAUUCUGUACUACCCAUCAGGACUAAUAUAAAGUCAUUCUAAGAAUAAUCCACCCAAACUGGCCUUCAUAUCUGGUGUCUGGAAUAUAGCAGAAAUCUUUU